UCACUGAGCUAGGGGUGCCCGAUGCGGGCUGAGAUGGCAAUGCGCCUGACCCUUUGAACCUGAUGCGGAUAAUACCGCCGUAGGGAAGCUGCAUACUUUCUGU
rnacentral:ncRNA from 3 species